GCAACAUCGGUCCAAUCCUUAAAGUCAUCCUCAGUUCGGACUGGGGUCUGCAACCCGACCCCACGAAGCUGGAUUCGCUAGUAAUCGCGCAUCAGCCAUGGCGCGGUGAAUACGUUCCCGGGCCUUGUACACACCGCCCGUCAAGCCAUGAAAGCCGGGGGCGCCUGAAGUCCGUGACCGCGAGGGUCGGCCUAGGGUGAAACCGGUGAUUGGGGCUAAGUCGUAACAAGGUAUC
rnacentral:rRNA from 1 species